rnacentral:rRNA from 1 species
GACGAACGCUGGCGGCGUGCUUAACACAUGCAAGUCGAACGGAAAGGCCUUUUCUGGGGUAGUCGAGUGGCGAACGGGGGGGUAACACGUGGGUGAUCUGCCCUGCACUCUGGGAUAAGCCUGGGAAACUGGGUCUAAUACCGGAUAGGAACGCACUUUCGCCUGUGUGGGGGCAAGUGUUUUCUGUGUAGGUUGGGCGCGGGGCCUACUAGGUUGUUGGUGGGGUAAUGGCCGACCAAGGCGGCGGCGGGGAGCCGGACCGGGGGGUUGGGCGGCCACAUUGGGACUGGGAUACGGCCCCGGCCCCGACUGGAGGGAGCAGGGGGGGAGGUUGAAAUAUGGGCGCGAGCCUGAUGCAGCGACGGCGCGGGGGGGAUGGCGGCCUUCGGGUUGGAAACGCCUUUCGCCAGGGACCAAGCGGUUAGUGACGGUACCGGGAGAAGAAGCACCGGCUAACUACGUG